GUUUUGCUGGCAUGGCUAAGAUAGUCCCCAUUAUCUGUCUUAGAACAUAUUUGUGACCUCUUACUCAUGGUCAUUCCUGGCACAACAACUGUGGAAAAUACUUCUCCUUCAAGGUCCAACAUUGAAGCUUAUAAUUUCAUAAAGACCCAGACUUCCUUUUUCUUGGGAGGCAACUCUUGGAGGUGUGUCUGGAAUAAGACGAGAGUUAAAUCAAUCCUGGCGGAAAAGAAGAUGGCUUAAGAGUCUCCUUUCUUGUUGCCAAAAGCUUUACUGUGUUUCCUGUCUUCAAUAUGGAUCCACUCAGAAGGACUAAUUUGCAAUCCAAUCCUGGAUAAGGGAAAAUGAGAGAUAAGGGGAAAUGAACGGUGAAGUUGCAAUGUUCAUCUGUUAAGAUAUUGCACUAUUUAGUUAAAUAAACUUGGAAGACAAUGCUGCACUCUACGGCAACCUACAGCAUCUCCCAGCGAGUUGCAUGGUGACU